GAUGAACGCUGGCGGCGUGCCUAAUACAUGCAAGUCGAGCGAACAGAUAAGGAGCUUUCUCCUUUGACGUUAGCGGCGGACGGGUGAGUAACACGUGGGUAACCUACCUAUAAGACUGGGUUAACUUCGGGAAACCGGAGCUAAUACCGGAUAACAUUUGGAACCGCAUGGUUCUAAAGUGAAAGAUGGUUUUGCUAUCACUUAUAGAUGGACCCGCGCCGUAUUAGCUAGUUGGUAAGGUAACGGCUUACCAAGGCGACGAUACGUAGCCGACCUGAGAGGGUGAUCGGCCACACUGGAACUGAGACACGGUCCAGACUCCUACGGGAGGCAGCAGUAGGGAAUCUUCCGCAAUGGGCGAAAGCCUGACGGAGCAACGCCGCGUGAGUGAUGAAGGGUUUCGGCUCGUAAAACUCUGUUAUUAGGGAAGAACAAAUGUGUAAGUAACUGUGCACGUUUUGACGGUACCUAAUCAGAAAGCCACGGCUAACUACGUG
rnacentral:rRNA from 1 species